GUUGGAGGCAACGAAAGCAAAGUGGGAUGAGAAGGACUAGAAAAUUGGAUUUGCUACAGAAUGUUUGCUUUUCAUUCAAAAUGGGGGCUGAUUACAACUUCUCAGAUACAUCAGGGCUACUACUAUUUUAAAGUUCUGUAGCUUUUUUUUUUCACUACUUCUGAGACUACAAUGAGCGACAUAUUUCUAGAAGAUGACUCUGGAACAUCAUUUAAGCUGGUUCAACAAGUUCCAAAGUCUAGGGAAUACAAAGAGUCAUUCAAGCUAGAGAACAUUCAGUCAAAAAUAUCUUCUGCACAAUCUAGAAAAUUACAAAUUACUUCUUAACACCCCCUCUUAAUUUGUAAUUUUCAAAGACUUUUUGAACUGCUCAAACUUCUCAAAAGAUACAGCUUUGGUGAGAACAUCUGCAGGCUGAUCAUAAGUGUUGAUGAACUCUAAGUAGAUCUGCUUCUUCCUUACCAUAUCCCUUA
rnacentral:lncRNA from 1 species